AUCCAGCUGACGAGUCCCAAAUAGGACGAAAUGCGUGUUAUCCUUGGU
rnacentral:hammerhead_ribozyme from 1 species